rnacentral:rRNA from 1 species
CCUACGGGAGGCAGCAGUGAGGAAUAUUGGUCAAUGGGCGCGAGCCUGAACCAGCCAAGUAGCGUGACGGAUGACUGCCCUACGGGUUGUACACUUCUUUUAUAAAGGAAUAAAGUGCGGCACGUGUGCCUUUUUGUAUGUACUUUAUGAAUAAGGAUCGGCUAACUCCGUGCCAGCAGCCGCGGUAAUACUGAGGAUCCUAGCGUUCUCCGGCUUUAUUGGGGUUCAAGGGUGCGCAGGCGGGCUGUUAAGUCAGCGGUCAACGCCCGGGGCUCAACCCCGGCCCGCCGUUGAAACUGGCAGUCUCGAGUUGGAGAGAAGUAUGCGGAAUGCGCGGUGUAGCGGUGAAAUGCAUAGAUAUCGCGCAGAACUCCGGUUGCGAAGGCAGCAUGCCGGCUCCACACUGACGCUGAGGCACGAAAGCGUGGGUAGCGAACAGGAUUAGAUACCCGGGUAGUC